UACGGAGGGUGCAAGCGUUGUUCGGAAUCAUUGGGCGUAAAGCGCGUGUAGGCGGCUUGGCAAGUCAGUUGUGAAAGCCCGGGGCCCAACCCCGGAAUUGCAUCUGAAACUGCCUGGCUAGAGUUCCGGAGAGGAAGGCAGAAUUCCCGGUGUAGGGGUGAAAUCCGUAGAUAUCGGGAGGAAUACCAGCGGCGAAGGCGGCCUUCUGGACGGUGACUGACGCUGAGACGCGAAAGCGUGGGGAGCAAACAGG
rnacentral:rRNA from 1 species